CCGUUGAUUGACUUUGGAGGUUCCCUUGAAUUGAUGAUUCUCAGAUUUCUAUGUCCAGAUCUAAUCUCUGUCUUGAACUCCUAUCCAGCAUUACCAACUGGUUAUUGGACAUCUCCAACUAAAUAUACCGUGGACAUCUCAAACUCAAUAUGUUCAAAGUCAAACUCAAUAAUCACCACCUAAACUUCUUGACCUAGAACAUAAGUUUCUUGAGCACAGGUAGAUCUCUCAAAGAGCAAUGGAGAUGGGCACAGUGGGCAGGAGUGGGCUAUUGCCCACAGGAAACCUAGGAUCAAAGGCACCAAAAGCAAACUAUAUGAUUGGCUGUCAUAGAGGAACAGGCCAGUCAUAGAGUAAAAGUUAUAAACUACCUUCCUCCAGUCUUGGUAUCCAUACAAUGUGAAGAAAUAUGGAAGAAGGCCCCUGAUAUAUUGGGACUCCCUCUACUCCCUGAAGAAUAUUAAUGGUAAGAGCCACAAAAGAGUAGAAGGCAUGAA